GGGGGGAAACCCUGAUGCAGCCAUGCCGCGUGUGUGAAAGAAGGCCUUCGGGGUUGUAAAGCACUUUCAGUAGGGAGGAAGGUAGUGUAGUUAACACCUGCAUUAUUUGACGUUACCUACAGAAGAAGCACCGGCUAACUCCGUGCCAGCAGCCGCGGUAAUACGGAGGGUGCGAGCGUUAAUCGGAAUUACUGGGCGUAAAGCGCAUGCAGGCGGCCUGUUAAGUCAGAUGUGAAAGCCCGGGGCUUAACCUCGGAAUUGCAUUUGAAACUGGCAGGCUAGAGUCUUGUAGAGGGGGGUAGGAAUUUCAGGUGUAGCGGUGAAAUGCGUAGAGAUCUGAAGGAAUACCAGUGGCGAAGGCGGCCCCCUGGACAAAGACUGACGCUCAGAUGCGAAAGCGUGGGGAGCAAACAGGAUUAGAUACCCUGGUAG
rnacentral:rRNA from 1 species